GACGAACGCUGGCGGCGUGCUUAACACAUGCAAGUCGAGCGGUAAGGCCCUUUCGGGGGUACACGAGCGGCGAACGGGUGAGUAACACGUGGGUGACCUGCCCUUAGCUCUGGGAUAAGCCUGGGAAACUGGGCCUAAUACCGGAUAUGACUCCAUGACGCAUGUUGUGGGGUGGAAAGCCUUGUGCGGCUAGGGAUGGGCCCGCGGCCUAUCAGCUUGUUGGUGGGGUGAUGGCCUACCAAGGCGACGACGGGUAGCCGGCCUGAGAGGGCGACCGGCCACACUGGGACUGAGACACGGCCCAGACUCCUACGGGAGGCAGCAGUGGGGAAUCUUGCGCAAUGGGCGAAAGCCUGACGCAGCGACGCCGCGUGAGGGAUGACGGCCU
rnacentral:rRNA from 1 species